rnacentral:rRNA from 1 species
UACGUAGGGGGCAAGCGUUGUCCGGAUUUAUUGGGCGUAAAGAGCGUGUAGGCGGCUGGGUAGGUCCGUUGUGAAAACUCGAGGCUCAACCUCGAGACGCCGAUGGAAACCCCCCAGCUAGAGUCCGGAAGAGGAGAGUGGAAUUCCUGGUGUAGCGGUGAAAUGCGCAGAUAUCAGGAAGAACACCCGUGGCUAAGGCGGCUCUCUAGUACGGUACUGACGCUGAGACGCGAAAGCGUGGGGGAGCGAACAGG